ACUCGGCGGUGGCGUCCGUGUUGUUAUUGUGGUGGUAGCGGCGUCUGGCUGCUGCGGACCCCGCCGAGUCCUAGCGCCUGGCCUGCGCGCCGCUGCCCGCGCCACAGGUAACGCCGCCGCCAGUGGGGGCUCGGGGUCGUGGGGUGUGCGAGUCCCGCGUGCUAGGGCCGGGCGGGCGACUGGGAUGCGCUUGGAGGCCAGAGGGCCAGGGGGACGGCAGCCGAAGAGUCGGGGGCAGGGGGACUUAAGGGCGGGCAGGUCGGGGGCCAGGAAACUGAGGCGCUGCGGGGCAGGUUGGGGGAAGGACGGGCCGGGGGCGGAGGACUUGGGAGGUCGGGGAGUCGAAAGGGGCCCAGCGAAGCCUGGAGGUCGGGAGCCGGGGUCCCUGGGGCCGGGGAGGUCGGGGGCCCGAGGGAGGCCGGGGCGCCGCGUCCUCGGCCCGUCCUCGGCUCGUCCUCGGCUCUGACCUGGGCUUGGGGACCAGAGUCCCGAGGCUGGCGUCUUGAGAUGCCCGCGGGCCCCUUAGGGCCGUUUUGGAUCCGCCCAGUGACUUCUGUUUUGGUUUUGGAGGCAGAGAAUCCAGUCUACGUAGACUCGGGGAAGUCUCGGGGGCUGGGAGGGGACUGAGAGGUUAUAGCAGGCGCCAAGGCCUCUUUUUGUGUUUUUGAGCGUCUACUACCGUUCCGGGGAAGUGCAGUGCCCGCGUUUUGCUUGGGGAAUUUCAGACACCGGCAUGGGGAGGACCCACGGGCAGAACCCGAGGGAGUAAUUUUGCAAAUCCAAGAUUUUUUGGAACUUCUAUAAUUUUGUUUUCGUGUGUCCUCUUUUUAGAAUCGAGAAACCAGAGAUAUAUUUUUAACAUUACAAAUCAGAAGAAUUUGCUACGGAGGAAAAAAGUAUGCUUUUAGCAGUGUUUUUCCCCUAUUUAUUUUUUUAAUUACAAAAGUACUGCUUGCUCCUUGAGAAAAACAUGAAGCAGCCAAACAAUGAGGAAACCUGCCCUCUCUCGCGCCCUUCCCCCCAUAUUUCUCCUUCUUACUACCCAGGGUAGCCAGUCUCCAAGUGUGGUGGGUAGUUAUUCAGGAUUUUUUUUUUCUGUGCAUUUAAUGAGUGUGCUUUAGAAACAAGAUUGGGAUCAUAUAUAGUACAGUAUAUCGUUUUAUUAGCCAACAAUGCAUCAUGGAUAUUCCUCCAUUUUAUUACACACCUCAUUAUUUUAAAAAACAUUAUUACUAUGUAUUAGAGAAUCCAAUCUACGUAGGCUUGGGGAAGCCUUUUCUUCAUUGUUAAACAUGGUCGCCAAGUUUUCAAUAAUCAGUAGCUUUGAAAAGGGCUACAAGCCAAUAUUUUGAAACAAUGUGGCAAAACUUUCAGAAUGUCUGCGGCCAGACGACAUUACUUUCGUAUUAAGCAGAUUAAUAUGUUUACGUAUUGCUUAAUGGUAGUUUACAUGAGGCUAGAUGACUCCAUAAAACAUAAAGUUGCUGAAUUAGUUUACUUUUUGGUUUUUUUUAUUUCAUUUUUUUCUAAGUAAAUUUUAAUUCCAUAUGGUCAGUUGAACACUUGUAAUUUCUUUAACAUGAAGUAGCUAAUAUGUGAAGGAAAGGUAAGGUAGGAAAGAUAGAAAGCUAGUGGCCCUAGCCUGAGACAAGAAAAAAAAAGCAACAGGGAUUAAAUAUUUUGGUAAGUAAGCUAUAGGGAGUAAACUGGAAGUGGAGGGGUGAUACUACACUGCCUACUAUUAAGUAAGACAGAAAGCUAGGAAAUUCCCAUUGCAUACUGUAUUUCUGUGUGCAGAAGAGCUGGAGGCUUUGUUGAUUUAAUCACUAGCUUGUAUUUAUUAAAAAUGUACUGUGUUCAUCUUGGUGCUAGCUUCCAGGGAAAGAACAACUGAGGAAGAUAAUCACGAACAACGUCUGGUUCUAAACAUGCAUAGCCUGAAAUUUUAAGCCAAAUUGUGUAGUAUUUUAUGAUUUGGAAACUGUGCUCGAAAGGAAUAAAAAAAUCCAUGACAUUUUAGUUAUUUUUGGUAAUAAUAUGCUCAUAUAUUUCUCAUAACAACAUAAAUGACAUUCUUCUCAUUCUAUAGAGUAAUAAAUAGAGGCUUUGAGUAAAAGAACUGCUCAAGAUCCCAUUGCUUUUUUUUUUUUUUUGUAAUAGUGCGUGUUUAUAUUCAGGAGUGCUUAAUCCAAGAACCUGUGUUUUCUGCUCUUGUUUUACCUCCUAUGAACGAAAAAUUGUUGCCCUUACGGUUUUUUCUGCUUUCUUUGAAAUGUUCCUUACAGAAUAACUACAUGAAUGUAAUCACAUGCAUUUAAAAUAGUCUAGAGAAUAUAGUGUGAAACUAUAAUGGUAUUUUUUUAGAUGAGGUUUCUGGUGGCAUAUUACUAAAAUUUUAAACUCCUUGAUCUUAUGCUGUUAACCAAGAAGAUGGGGAUUUGUGUUACUUUAGACACUGCUGGGUGCCAUGGUAAAUUGGGAUGUUAUUGUAAAUUGUAGCUCUCACAGCUGCGUAUUGCUUACAAACUCGGAAGGAUAGUCUCAUAUCAGUAAACAUUUUUAUGAACGUAGUUGAACUUUUUUGUAAAUUAGUGUGCUGGAAAGAAUACCAAGAGGGCCCUAAAAAAGUCUAAAAGGAUUAAAAUUUACUUAUGUAAUUAUUGGUAUUUUAAAAUAUUUGGUAGUCACUUAAAAUGCAUAAUGACAGACAAUAGGGUGUCAUAAUAUGGUUUAUUAAUCUUUUUUCAUUUUCCACUAGAUGUGGCAACUACAUAGUUGGAAGAAAUGUGGCGGCCGGGGGCAGUGGCUCACGCCUGUAAUCCUAGCACUUUGGGAGGCUGAGGCAGGAGAGUCGCUUGAACCUGCGAGUCAGAGGUUGCAGUGAGCCAAGAUCGCUCCACUUCACUCCAGCCUGGUCAAAAGAGUGAGACUCUGUCUCAAAAAAA
rnacentral:lncRNA from 1 species